rnacentral:rRNA from 1 species
GACGAACGCUGGCGGCGUGCUUAACACAUGCAAGUCGAACGCGCCUGUCCUCUGGGUUUCUGGGGGGUGGGUGAGUGGCGAACGGGUGAGUAACACGCGAGUAACCUGCCCCCUUCUUCGGGAUAACGGUCUGAAAGGGCUGCUAAUACCGGGUAUUCACUGGUCUCCGCAUGGGGUCUGGUGGAAAGGUUUUUUUCUGGUGGGGGAUGGGCUCGCGGCCUAUCAGCUUGUUGGUGGGGUGAUGGCCCACCAAGGCUUUGACGGGUAGCCGGCCUGAGAGGGUGACCGGUCACAUUGGGACUGAGAUACGGCCCAGACUCCUACGGGAGGCAGCAGUGGGGAAUAUUGCACAAUGGGCGCAAGCCUGAUGCAGCGACGCCGCGUGAGGGAUGGAGGCCUUCGGGUUGUGAACCUCUUUCGCCCGUGGUCAAGCCGCGACGUGGGUCGUGGUGAGGGUAGUGGGUAAAGAAGCGCCGGCUAACUACGUG